rnacentral:lncRNA from 1 species
AAAGGAUGACAAUAAAUAGCUCGUUAAGCAUCCUUUCACCGAAUAUAUCCUACCACAUGAUCUAUCCAUUUAUCAAAGAUCAUGUCUCUUAGAAUUACCAUUAGAUCGGAUGCAUCUUUACAUAAGAGAACAUCACCUCAUUUGUGGGAAUCUUUCGAGGCAUCCAUUUGCAAAACAUCCGUUCAUCAUGUCUUGUGAGGAGAGAAGAGAAAUGAAGAUAAAGUUAAUCUUUAUCCAUUCAAAAGUUCUAGUUAUUUGGGUAUCUAAGAUAAGUUUUUAUAUUUAAGUAGGCUUAUAUUUUGUUUAAUAUCAACCAUUCUUAAAAUCUCAAAAUUUUGAAUUAAAUAUAUUAUUGUUAAGAUGCAUAAUUUAAAAUUUUGAAAGUUAAAUAACACAUAAAAUGCAUCUGGAUCAAAAAUACUAUACAAUAGGUAAAGGUGUCUUGCAGGUUUGAAUCUUAGUGUUGACAUGUUUCUUUUAUACAGCUCUUGGUGAAUAAAAUUUUGAACUAAACUUUUUGAUAUAAUGUCACAUACCACACACAUAGUAUUGGCUAUUAUUAGGUUUAUUCGGGUUAGCUCUUUUCAGCCUCGUGCUAGUUUCUUAGCUUCAUGAGUGCUUUAGAGAUAGCCCAAUCCCAUAUCCCAUAUGUUGCAACUCCACAACCACACUUAUAUAGAUGAGUCUUUCGAGGAUGAUUGCAAUGCUUACAUCCAACAAAAUAAGCUAUGGACCCAUUAAGGAUAAUUAGCCUUCCUCUUACCCUUGAUUAAAAAAUACUUUUAUUUCUUUUUCCC